GACGAACGCUGGCGGCGUGCUUAACACAUGCAAGUCGAACGGUGACGAGGAGCUUGCUCCUCCGAUCAGUGGCGAACGGGUGAGUAACACGUGAGCAACCUGCCCCAGACUCUGGGAUAACAGUUGGAAACAGCUGCUAAUACCGGAUACGAGACGGAGAGGCAUCUCUACCGUCUGGAAAGUUUUUCGGUCUGGGAUGGACUCGCGGCCUAUCAGCUAGUUGGUGAGGUAAUGGCUCACCAAGGCGACGACGGGUAGCCGGCCUGAGAGGGCGACCGGCCACACUGGGACUGAGACACGGCCCAGACUCCUACGGGAGGCAGCAGUGGGGAAUAUUGCACAAUGGGCGAAAGCCUGAUGCAGCGACGCCGCGUGAGGGAUGACGGCCUUCGGGUUGUAACCGUACUUUCAGCAGGAAGAAGACG
rnacentral:rRNA from 1 species